GAUGAACGCUGGCGGCGUGCUUAACACAUGCAAGUCGAACGAUGAAGCCCAGCUUGCUGGGUGUAUUAGUGGCGAACGGGUGAGUAACACGUGAGUAACCUGCCCUUUACUCUGGGAUAAGCCUUGGAAACUGGGUCUAUUACCGGAUAGGAGCGUCCACCGCAUGGUGGGUGUUGGAAAGAUUUAUCGGUUUUGGAUGGACUCGCGGCCUAUCAGCUUGUUGGUGGGGUAAUGGCUCACCAAGGCGACGACGGGUAGCCGGCCUGAGAGGGUGACCGGCCACACUGGGACUGAGACACGGCCCAGACUCCUACGGGAGGCAGCAGUGGGGAAUAUUGCACAAUGGGCGCAAGCCUGAUGCAGCGACGCCGCGUGAGGGAUGACGGCCUUCGGGUUGUAAACCUCUUUCGGUAGGGAAGAAGCGAAAGUGACGGUACCUGCAGAAGAAGCACCGGCUAACUACGUG
rnacentral:rRNA from 1 species